UUCCAAUACUACAAAUCAGCUACCUUGCAAGCCCACAAUCCUUCUUUUAUACUAAUGCCAAUGCAUAUAUCAGUUUGUUUGUUGUAUCAUUCCCACAACACCAAUUGCAAUUGUUCUAUAAUCACACAAUUUUAAGAUCUGCACAAGCUGUGAAAAAUAGUGCCAGAUCAAACCAGCAUAACUUUUCUGAUGGGUACAAAGGCGGUAUUUUGUAUUCGAGAAGGUGGAGACAUGAGAUAACAAAAACAGACACUAUUAGUCCAUAAUAAUAAUGAGUUUGAUUAGUAACGGUGAUUCUUAUAACUAACAAAUGCCAUCUUUUAACUCGUAAUAAGGAUGCAAUGAACGUAAAUGGUGCAAAACAGAAUAAUAAAUAAGAAACUUCAAUUAUUGAUUCAUGCUAACAGCUGAAAACAGUCAAAUUUUAUAUAUGAAUUAGGAAUCACCACUAUCAAAAUCUACUUUUCGUUUCUAACCUAGUUACUUAGAGGAAGAUAUAACUUAUAAGAUAUCCAUUUCUUCCCCUUAAAUUGCUGUACGAGCAAGCAUACCAGGAGUGUGAAAAGGGGAGAAAGAAUAACUAAAUUGGAUUACAUAUUAAACAAUCGCAGUUGAAUGCAGAUAAAGGUGUAUAAUAUACCUGUGCUUUUUGUGAUGGUGUCUUACGACAACAUAUACCAGUCUUUGAGAAUAUAUUAGCCAUAGCAACAAAACAAAUUAUCCUUCAUAUCAUUCCUUUUCAUGAAAAAUGAUUCUGUUAGAACAAAAUUAAGAGUUUGUAUGUUGUACAUACAGACCACCUAGGUAUUAACAAGAUCAACAACAUAUUGAAACAAGGGAAUUUCCAUCAUUCUCCAAUAACACUCGAGACAAAUGAAGAGACAUGCGUCAUGGGGGUAAAUACUAGCAACUUAUUCAGAGUUUUAUAGUUUAAUCUUGGUUUCCUGUUUAUGACUGGUAGGUCUUGAGGACAUGCAUUAUCAUCUAAUUAAUAACUCUUUCAUGACCUUGGUGGUAAUUGAGGAACUGGGGUUUAACCAUCCUGAUAAUAUUUACUCUAUCAAAGAAAAUUGCACAAUGACUGAUUUUGAAUAUCAUAUUUUAAGCAUUCCACUAUACAUGUAUGACACAAUCUAUUAUUACAGUUACAUUGCAAUACAAGUUAGCUGGAGCCAGCUACAAGUAUAUCAAAAAUGUAUUUUAAGAAUAUUUGAUUAUAUUCCUGUUACAUCUCUCAAUUAGAAAAUAACAUAUGAGGAGAGGCCGAGACAAAUACUGACCUGAGUUAGUGUUUUUGCAGUUAUGUUAUAUUUGAUGCUGUUAUAUUUUAUUUGUUGCAGUUAUUUUUUAUUUGACAGUUAUUGUGCAGUUAUGUUUUAUUUGUUUUCAGUGUGUAUGUUUGUGAUAGAAACCAAUUGAUACACAAAAGGAAAUAGGAAAAAUCCCUCUGAAUUACAAAAUAAUACCGCAGAAUUUCAAGGGUCAGCACCUCC
rnacentral:lncRNA from 1 species